GUGGCCUAGUGGUAGAGCUUCCGCUUCGGAUGCGGAGGUCGCGGGUUCGAAUUUCUGCUAAGUCA